AAUUUUUUUCAAAUAUUUAAUACUUUCGUUUUUACCCUGAUAGCCAUCCAAUUAUAAAAGUUAACGUUAAAUUGCAAUCCAACUUUUAUACAAUCUAGGGCUGGAAAUUGACUUUAACUUUUAUCAAAAUGUUGUAGUAAAAGUCUUGAUGUGAACUUUUAGUGAAGUUGGACAAAACGAGUGAAAAUACUCAUUGAUAUGGCAGGUUAUCAGAAUUUGUCUCUUUUUUACAUCGGUAGGUAAUUUAUCGGUAAAAAAACGAAGCACAGUAAAAAUUUUUUACUACUGACGUGACAAAAAAAUCAAUAAUUGAUGGUUAAACCGGGGAGUUGAACCCGAAUUGUCUGGUUACGAGCGAAGCUCAUUAUCAAAUGAGCCAUCUGAGACAGACAUCGCG